GCAGCCGGGAACCGGAGAUUGAAGCCAUGGAAGGCAUGGCAGCCCAGCACAACGAAGGCGAGCACUCGAACAGAGUGGCAUUGAAGACAGCAGGGGCGGCGGGGCGGUGGGGCGGCGUUUGCUGAGGUUAGCAGUAGGGUGCCUCCAGACAGGUAACAAAGCGUUGCCAAAGAACUGGCGGAGAUCAGCACCGCCUUGGGGAAAACCAAACGACUGAACCAGGCGUGAGAACUGAUGGAUCCUCAGUCACCGGUCCACAGCAGAUGGCAUGAUGAGGAUCAGGUGUAGAUGGGCGGGUCCACACUCUGCAGAGCUGCAGCUCUCACAUUCACUCCAAGUCAUUCACCCCAAACUCACCAGGGCCGUAACAAUGCUAAUAAAUGCUCCAAAGAUAA